GACGAACGCUGGCGGCGUGCUUAACACAUGCAAGUCGAACGAGACCUUCGGGUCUAGUGGCGCACGGGUGCGUAACGCGUGGGAAUCUGCCCUUGGGUUCGGAAUAACAGUUAGAAAUGACUGCUAAUACCGGAUAAUGACGUAAGUCCAAAGAUUUAUCGCCCAAGGAUGAGCCCGAGUAGGAUUAGCUUGUUGGUGAGGUAAAGGCUCACCAAGGCGACGAUCCUUAGCUGGUCUGAGAGGAUGAUCAGCCACACUGGGACUGAGACACGGCCCAGACUCCUACGGGAGGCAGCAGUGGGGAAUAUUGGACAAUGGGCGAAAGCCUGAUCCAGCAAUGCCGCGUGAGUGAUUAAGGCCUUAGGGUUGUAAAGCUCUUUUACCCGGGAUGAUAAUGACAGUACCGGGAGAAUAAGCCCCGGCUAACCCCGUGCCAGCCGCCGCAGUAACAC
rnacentral:rRNA from 1 species